UACGGGGGGUGCGAGCGUUGUCCGGAAUCACUGGGCGUAAAGGGCGCGUAGGUGGUUUGAUAAGGGUGUGGUGAAAGUCCGGAGCUCAACUCCGGAUCUGCCGUGCCGACUGUCAAACUCGAGGGCUGUAGAGGCAGACGGAAUUCCGGGUGUAGCGGUGGAAUGCGUAGAGAUCCGGAGGAAGACCGGUGGCGAAGGCGGUCUGCUGGGCAGUUUCUGACACUGAGGCGCGACAGCGUGUGGAGCAAACAGG
rnacentral:rRNA from 1 species